rnacentral:rRNA from 1 species
CCUGGUUGAUCCUGCCAGUAGUCAUAUGCUUGUCUCAAAGAUUAAGCCAUGCAUGUGUAAGUAUUAACAAAUUCAGACUGUAAAACUGCGAAUGGCUCAUUAAAUCAGUUAUAGUUUGUUUAAUGGUAUUUAUUACUCGGAUAACCGUAGUAAUUCUAGAGCUAAUAUGUGCAACAAACCCCAACGUCUGGAAGGGAUGCACUUAUUAGAUAAAAGGUUAACGCGGGCUCUACCCGUUGCUGCAAUGAUUCAUGAUAACUCGACGGAUCGCACAACCAUCGCAUCGGCGACACAUCAUUCAAAUUUUUGUCCUAUUAAAUUUCAAUGGUAGGAUAGUAGCCUACCAUGGUGGUGACGGGUGACGGAGAAUUAGGGUUCGAUUCCGGAGAGGAGGCCUGAGAAAUGGCUACCACAUCCAAAGAAGGCAGCAGGCGCGCAAAUUACCCAAUCUUGACACGGGGAGGUAGUGAUAAUAAAUAACAAUACCGGGCUCAAUGAGUCUUGUAAUUGGAAUGAGUACAAUCUAAAUCCCUUAACGAGGAGCCAUUGAAGGGUAAGUCUGGUGCCAGCAGCCGCGAUAAUUCAAGCUCCAAUAGCAUAUAUUUAAGUUGUUGCAGUUAAAAAGCUCGUAGUUGGACUUUGGGAUGGGCCGGCCGGUUUGCCUAUGGUGUGCAUCGGUCGUCUCGUCCCUUCUAUCGGCGAUGCGCUCCUGGCCUUAACUGGCCGGGUUGUGCCUCCGACGCUGUUACUUUGAAGAAAUUAGAGUGCUCAAAGCAAGCCUACGCUCUGUAUACAUUAGCAUGGGAUAACAUUAUAGGAUUUCGGUCCUAUUACCUUGGCCUUCGGGAUCGGAGUAAUGAUUAACAGAGACAGUCGGGGGAAUUCAUAUUUCAUAGUCAAAGGUGAAAUUAUUGGAUUUAUGAAAGACGAACAACUGCGAAAUUAUUUGCCAAGGAUGUUUUCAUUAAUCACGAAAGAAAGUUGGGGGCUCGAAGACGAUCAGAUACCAUCCUAGUCUCAACCAUAAAUGAUGCUGACCAGGGAUCAGCGGAUGUUGCUUUUAGGACUCCGUCGGCACCUUAUGAGAAAUCAAAGUUUUUAGUUUCUGGGGGGAGUAUGGUCGCAAGGCUGAAACUUAAAGGAAUUGACGGAAGGGCAGCACCAGGAGUAGAGCCUGCGUCUUAAUUUGACUUAACAUGGGGAAACUUACCAGGUCCAAACAUAGUAAGGCUUGACAAAUUGAGAGCUCUUUCUUGAUUCUACUAUGGCACCAUGGCACCAAGGAACCAUAGAACCAAGGCACUGUGGCACGGUGGCACCAUGUCGCCAUGGCAUCGUUGCCUCGUAUCACUAUGGCACUAAGGCACCAAGGCACCAUGGCGCCAAGGCAUCGUGGCACCAUGGCACCGUGGCACCAUGGCACCGUGGCACCAAGGCACCAUGGCACCAAGGCAUCGUGGCACCACUGUGCCAAAAUCAAAAGAGCGUAAACCUACCUUCAAUCAUCCUAAUAUUUUCAUGACGUUCAUCCAUCUUCCUCACCGUUGCAUACUCAUUUUGUUACAUAUCCGUUCUAAUUAUUUAUUUGAAAUAUAUUUCAAUG